AACGAACGCUGGCGGCAUGCCUAACACAUGCAAGUCGAACGAGACCUUCGGGUCUAGUGGCGCACGGGUGCGUAACGCGUGGGAACCUGCCCUUAGGUUCGGAAUAACUCCCCGAAAGGGGUGCUAAUACCGGAUAAUGUCUUCGGACCAAAGAUUUAUCGCCUUUGGAUGGGCCCGCGUUGGAUUAGCUAGUUGGUAGGGUAAAAGCCUACCAAGGCGACGAUCCAUAGCUGGUCUGAGAGGAUGAUCAGCCACACUGGGACUGAGACACGGCCCAGACUCGUACGGGAGGCAGCAGGGGGGAAUAUUGGACAACGGGCGAAAGCCUGAUCCAGCAAGGGCGCGGGAGUGAUGAAGGCCUUAGGGUUGUAAAGCUCUUUUACCCGGGAUGAUAAUGACAGUACCGGGAGAAUAAGCGCCGGCUAACUCCGUG
rnacentral:rRNA from 1 species